GUGCCAGCCGCCGCGGUAAUACAGAGGUCCCAAGCGUUGUUCGGAUUCACUGGGCGUAAAGGGUGCGUAGGUGGUGAGGUAAGUUUGAUGUGAAAUCUCCGGGCUCAACCCGGAAAUGGCAUUGAAUACUAUCUUGCUAGAGGAGUGGAGGGGGGACUGGAAUACUUGGUGUAGCAGUGAAAUGCGUAGAUAUCAAGUGGAACACCAGUGGCGAAGGCGAGUCCCUGGACACUUCCUGACACUGAGGCACGAAAGCUAGGGGAGCAAACAGGAUUAGAUACCCUAGUAGUCC
rnacentral:rRNA from 1 species